GCGGGGUUCUCUUCAUUGUUUUCGGAAUCCAAUCCUUCUUGUCCACGGUGGAGUGAUGAGAUGUGGUAAUUUCAGCCCACCAUUGUAUUCAGAUUAGAUGUAUUCUACAAUUGUAGCAUGACAACAUAUGCUGAAUGUGGCUGCAAAGAGGAGGAGCCACAGUGCUACCUUCUCUUAAAUCAUGCUCCAUGUGCUUGUAUUUAUAGACUUCAUCAGAUGGUGGUUGCGACUAUCUGACAAUAGCUAAACUUUUCUCCGACAUGGAAAGCUAGAGCCAGCGAAAGAUUAGUAGAUGUAAUAAUCAUAUAAAGCUCUCCUAUACCAAUAUGUAUACAGACUUGGAAGAUUGUUUCAAACUUGCCGUAGUGUUAUUCCUUCUUUAAAAAAAAAAUUAAAAAAAUUAACGUCAGGUCUUUCCAAAUAUAUGAAAAUAUUGCAUGUGAAGGCCACCUUAGAGCAUUUCUAACAUGGUGUAUUGGUGUCCAAAGAGUGGGGUUUUUCAUGCUGUAUAGGCUUUGUAGAGUUCUGUUUAAGCUGUCAGGAUGCGUUUUUUUUUUUUUUUGACUAUUAUGUAAAUAAACUGGAUAUCUUAAAUGUAAUAUCUGGGAUUAUACAAUCGAAAUUUCAAAUUUCAUUAUCAAUGUUUAUGUGUGAUAACUGAUGUGCCCUGAAAAAAGAAAUCACAUGUUAAAACAUUCAACGUUCGUGGAGCAUAAAAAUCAAUUUAUAAUUGGGUUAAAGGACGAAAAGAACCUUUUGCUUUUAACUGUGAGAGCAAAUUAGCAAAUAACCCCUUACAUUUCAUAAAGCCCUUGUAGUUUGAGAUAAUGGUACACAAAGGGAGAGUAAGAAUUUAUAUGUUAAGGCAUGUGAUCUCACAAUUCAUAUAGGCACAAGUAAGCUCUUAUACUUUAAAGUAAUGGUCUAGAAAGGGAGAAUAAGUGCUUAUUAGCUCGCUGGUCUUUUGUUUAUCAGGUUAGUGGAAAGUGAAUUUGGAGUUGGUAGAAUGCUAAAAAGGUGUAAAUUUUUCACUAGUGUUAAGAAUAUUUUAGUCCAGAAUCGAAGAAUCAUGGUUCAACCACCGUACCACAUGAUCACUUUCUAAUUUCCAUGGUGCUCAAUUUCCGCAACCUUUACACUAAUUCUUGCUAAGCAAAUUAAAAUAUACAUUUCUCCUUUUUCUUUCGAUUAGGUACGAACAUACAGGCUCGUUUGACAAAAUAAAAUGCUAGGUAUCGCAAAAAUAAUCGAGCAAACUGGGGACCGUUUAGGUGAGCUUAAAAUAAGUGCUUCUGGUUUAAAAUAAAAAAAAUGAAGUAGAAGUUAGAAGUUAGUUAAGACUUAUAAGUGAUUAAAGUGUCUGGGAGAAAAGUAGAUUUAAUAAAACAAAAGCUAAGAAUACUAACUUUUUAUAAGUGUUUUUCGACUUUUUACACAAACCGUAUGAAUAAGUGCUUUAACUUAAAACUUCAGAAACGGGGCUAAAAAGCCCACCCAAACACCCACUAAAUUCAAAUCGUUUACAUAAUUAUACAUCACGGUUGCAUCAUGGCUUGCGUAAACCAGGAAAAACAUCCUCAGUUUCUCAGCCUGAUGCACAACACAACACAACUAACACUUGAAGUAAAAUCAAAGCGAAAGCUUUACAACAAAACACCUAUUUUUCUGAAAGUGAUAGUGUGGUGAGAAGAAAGUGAAGCAACUGACUAGUCUUAUGUAGAAGAACAUUAUGUCCUCCACACUCACUUACUAUGGUGUUAAAUCAUAAUAAUAAUGUCUCAUAGUGGAUUUAGCAUGUAGACUUGUUACUUGUACACAUGCAAGCAUCAAGAUAAUCACUGAAUCAUGAGUAGAACUCGUAGGUGGAUGAGUCUGCAAUGAUGUUCCUCAGGCCGCCAAUCGUCGAUGCAAUCAUCACGAACACUCCUAUGAUUAUGCAGGCCUGUCAGGACCAAGAUAGUUGGAUUAGUAUGUGCCACUAGUCAAUAUUUCAACACUACCCCUCACUCGAAAUCUCAUUUUUUGGGUUGAAGAGUGGAUCACUGGCCCCCAUCUGAUAUCAUGUUGAGAAUCAAUCUAUCUUAUAUUUUAAGGUGUUAGAGGAAGGUCCCGAAUGGAUCUUAUGCUAUGUUAUAACAAGUUGCUUACCCAAUUGAUGAGCCAGGAUGCACUGAAUCUCUUAGGUUUCUUGAUUGUCAGCCAUAUAAUGCAUGGUAGCUGAAAUUCAUGCAUCGAAACAUUAGUAUCAUGAUUCAGAUCUUGACUAAAAUAUGUAGGUAAUGAUAAGUGGUAAUGGAGAAUGAAACUUACGAAGUAAGAUGUGGGAGCAAAGCCAAAUCCCCCGAAAAAACCAAGAAGAUCCCCAAAGAAUGGGAAAGUGACACCAAUGAACAAAGUCAUGGCUGCAAAAUACCCAAAAUUUUAAGGUGCAUAUGAAAUAUAAUUUUUAAAAUUUUCUGUCGCCCAAAAUAAACAACCUAGGGGAUAGAGGGAGAGGGAGCAUGACGUAAGAACUUGUCAUGUGUUAGUGAACCUUGUUGGAAACAGAACUAGGGGCUCACCAACGUAAGCAGAACGAACGACGAGUCUGAGUAAGAUUCCUGGCGGAACAUUGAACUUCUUAGUCAUGCCUCUCUCUGCCAAGUCGAACACUGGCAUCGCGAAAACCUACACAAAAGCAUGACUAGUUAGAUAAGCAUUUUUGCAGUGAUUCUCAGAUAAUUUCAGACUUGAGUUAUUCUAAUAUACCAACUACUGCGUAAUAUUUAAAUGAUCCUCUGAUUCCGAGACAAAAUCAGUACUUUAGCAGAAGAAACAUUACUUGGUAGCUGCCAAUGACAUGGAUGACCACCAUCAAGUUAGCAGCAACAAUGAGCCAGGCCGGCUUAUGAAGUCCGACGAUGACAUUGUCUUCGACAUCUUGGCCGAAUGCCCAGUAUCCAAUAAAAGCAACGGGGGCAUAACAGAUUGCAUUUACAAAAUAGGCAGCAAGAGCUCCUUUAAACAUAGGAAUUCUUGAGGGCUUCUCUGGAGUAGAUGGAAUUGUGGCCUGAAUCUCCAGUGUCACGGCAUGGCCUGCAAACGCAAAUGCGAUCUGGCCUAAUGCGUUGAAGACCCUGAAAACCGAAUCAGCUCCACUGGUGCUUUUGUAUGCGUAGCUCACGUUUUCGACACGGCCGUGAGCUAUGCUUCCUACCCAUGCUAUAGUCGAAUAGCUGCAGCAUAGUCCAUGAUCAAUUUGUUAAACUGGUUUGUUAUGAACUAAUUAACCCAGAAAUUUGCACACUUAAAUUAAAAAUUAGAAAAUCAUGCUCCAAUGACUACUUCAGAAACAGAGGGUACAAUAAGAAUGAGACUCGGAAUCAUGUCAAUCCAGAAGUCGCGUGCCCUGUGCAGUAACGCUUUUUUGGUGAAAAAACGUAUUACAUGACACCCUAACCUGUCUAGGAUUUUUGUUUAGAAACUUGCCGACUAUUUCCAUACCCGACACACGUAUGUGAAUCAGAUUAACGAGCGAUAUGAUUUAGUAGACGGGAACUCUCUGUGAUACGCACGAGUUGAGACAUGAUCUCUUUUGGCGAAAUUUUCCCGCCGUCUCUUCAACUCGGAUGAGCGUCCGGAGCAGGUGAGUUUCGAACCAUGUGACGGAGGCCCCACUUUUUUACUUUUCACGUGAUAAAACUAUUAUUUAAAAAAUUCAGUUACUAAGAGAGUCGAGUGCUCUGUGUAAUCAUUCCCAUCAUUCAUGGGAAUUUGAAUAUUUGAUAGAAUAACUUAUCACAUAAAUUUAAAACUUCGAGUCUCCUCGACCUUUUGCAUGUAGUUGCAUCUCUAAAGCUGCGUUUUCUAUGAAAAAGACUGAUCAAAAUACACUGUCUAUUUGUUUGUGUGCUAUUGCCUGAUUCUUAUGGUACCAGUCUACCAGAGCUGGACCAAAUUUCAAGAUUCUGAAUUCAUUAUCUCAGACUCACUACCUACAUGAGUUUGACCAUGCAUCUCCUGGACCUAAAACAUCUUUUAAUUCCCACAUCACAGAAAAAUUGAGAAAACAGGAGUAUGUUUAUACCAUUCUACUAGUAUUCUAAAAAGCGGAUUAAGCAGACACCUAAACGGAUGCUUAAGCAAGAUUUAUUGAUCAAGAACUUUAAGACACCUGAGAGACAUGAUGGCGGCUGCCAGUGAAACAGCAGCAACAGAGUUAAAAUCAGGAAGCUGUGAGAGAACAAAAUGGAUGGAUCCAAAGAUGCAAAUCCAGUAGGACUGUCUGAGCCUUGUGCAAUCCGUGCAGGUGAUUUCGAAGAAUUUCUUGAGGCACUUGCCACCAGUGACCAUGUACACUAUGUUACAUCCCACCUGAACUAUAAGUUGCUGAGGAAGCACAAUCCAUGGCCCUAGCUUUGGCCCAAAUGCAUACUGGCUGAGACUGUAAUAUCGAUCAAAUCGGACCCCGGGGACACAUUCAUGCAGCUGGAUCAUCUGCCACAUUGUAUACAAGGUGAUGCACCAUGAUAAUAUUAUAAACAUGGCCCCUGGUCCCCUGAAGAACAUCAAAAAAAGCAAAAAAAAAAAAAAAAAUUAAAAUAUUUUAGGAUCCUGAACUGUGAACUUUUAUUCAUAGAUAAAUUAUUUAUGCAUAGACAAGUGUCGAGGAUCGAUAUACCAUCCUAAGUAGGCCAUGGCAUAAGGCAAGCUAAGAACUCCAGCACCAACCAUGGCUGUGACAGUAUGGAAAGUUGAGUACCACCAUUUCGCUUCGCGAGGAGGUCCAUCUUUCCAUUGAUCAUCUGCCGGAACUUCCUGCAUGUCAAGUAGUAGUUCAAAGAAAACAACAUCAGUAUCAGCUCGAGGAUUCGGGGAUAGCCUAGUGAAAUAUCAGUAUCGAAAUAUUUAAAAUGUACCAAAUAAACAUCCGUACUAGUUUAAUAACCUUGUACAAUAUUUUUUAGCUAGGCCUAAACAAAUUUCAUUUUCAUUCCGUAAAGACUUUGAUGGCCCGACCCCUCUCAAGGAGAAGACGGGUGGACGAGUGUGUUUAAUUAUCAAAAAAUGAUGAACGUACUAAUUACCUUUGGAAACUUAGGAGAAGUUGCAGUGACCAUAGUGAAACCAAAGAAAGAAAGAAAGAGUGGUUAGCUAGAAUGUUGGAGUUGAAGUAUAAUGAACUCAAUCAUCAUAUAUUUGUACUAGUAGUUUGAUCCGUGAUGGAAUAAAGGUUACAGGACACAAGGGGUCUCUUUUAUUAGUCACCUCUGCUUUUACAAUAAAAUAAAAACACUCAUCUUUUGUAAAGCAUGUCAAAUUUUCUUCAUAAAAUAUAUUGCUACAAUAUAUAUAAUUACGUGAUAAUCGACACUGAAGAUUAGUCAAAAGAUACUUCAUAAAUAAUUUAAGAACAGUACUGCUAUUUGUUUAUGUGUUGGGGGAAUGAGGACAGGCGCAUGCUUUUUAGGUCUUGAAAUGACAAGGGUCUAAAUUAGCGGAGUUUAAGUUCGACUAAAUAUUUACAUUUGAGUGCGACUUCGAUCAAAUUUAUAUAAAUAUCUAAGUUCGAAAUUCGAUUUGACAAAAUUUUAAUAGGUCUCAACUUAGUCUGAUUUAGGAUUCACAAAAAUUCGAUUAAGAUGUCUUAGGCUUGAAUUUGACUCGAUCAAAUUUAAAGACACCACAUAGGCUUGAAUUAGUUUGUGGGUUGGUGAAUCGUAGCUAUGCUAUUAUUUUCAGAAAAGAUAGGAAUAUUUUGUAUACAAAGUAAUUAUUGAAAGAAGAAAUAGGGCCUUCUUUCUGCCUACACUGUAUCUUUCGUCCUUUCUUUGGGAACACUUUUCAAAAAAGCAUUAUAUAUGAUAAGGAUUAAUUAUUAUAAUAAUACUAGCAAGGAAACAUUGAAAACCUAGCAAGUAAAUAAAUAAACUGGGCAACUACAUAUAUAUAUAUAUAUAUAUGUUCCUCUGUCAGUUUAGUUUUCCCUUAGAUUCUUUGGAGGGAGGCCCGCCGCGACAUCUCUUUAUCACCUCACAACCUCUGGUAUAAGGACUUGCUGGAGUGUCUGGUUCCAUACAACCUCCAGGCUGGUUGCAUAUUGUCCCAUCACCUCUUAAUGCACCAUAUGAAAUCAUCUUUGCAUCAGCAACAUCUGCCACUAGUGCAAGAAACACAAUCAUGAUGACGAAAAAUACAACUCUGGUUUUCGACAAUUCCAUUGUCGUUACUUUAUUUUGAUUUUUUCACUUAAAACAGAUAUUAAGCCAAACACCACCUCAAGAGAAAGUUUGUCUUUUGUAAUUAGUAUAAUUAAAACAAUGACGUUUUAUUACCAAGGUUAAGGUAUAUAUAUAGUUAAGCCUGUCAAGAUUGAUUCGAUCCCCAGUGGAUAUGGAUUGAUGUGUACGACUAUAAAUAAAGUUGAAAAUUAUCCGAACGCAAUUAGAUAACAACGAUAUCUAAAUGAUAAAUAGAUUGACAUAUAGUUAGGUUGAUCCGAUCUUUUAUCAUCGAUUCUAUCUGUUUAAUCUAUUUCCAAAACUCUUAACUAUUUCUAAAUCUUUAAACUUUGACGUGUGUGCUAUUGUUUAGAUUAUCAUUUAUUAUCUUGCUACGUGUAACCUUUAGAGAUUAUAAUAUUCGGUUAAAUCUAAUUUCGCGGACUUGAUUUGUAGACUCAACAGUAUUCGGUUAACUGAGUUUACAAUAAUUAUUGCAGAAUUAUAAUGGGAUGAAAAAUUUCCAUAGGGGACCAAAUAUAUCUAUCUCGGUGAUUAAAAGAAACAACAUCACAAAAUCAAACUCAAUAAAAACCGGAACUUAGCAAUUUUAAAUAUAAAAUAAGAGACAUCACAUAACGAACUAGCCCAGCCCAACCAGAUUUUGGCCUGUAUAAAACUCCAAAGAGCGAAAGACCAAAAUAUAGAGCUCAAAUCAUAAUUAAAAUUAUUACCAAGUGCUCAGCUUAAAGUUUAAAUUAUAUAUUUGGUUGAUUUUAUAUUAUAGAUGAUUUUAUAAGUUAAUAAAAUAAUAAUAAAUUUAAUAAAAUAUAUAUUUUAAUAUUGAAAUUGAAUUUUAUUAAAAAAUAAUAAUAAAAAACUCUGAUAAAAAGGUACAUACUUUUAUUUCUAAUUCUGCUUUAUUUUUAAUAUUAAACCAACUUAUUACACAAAUAUGAAAAUAUAUAUUAUUUCAGUUUAAAAUUGAAAACGGGUUAAAAUAAAUAUCAAAGGCAAAUACCAAAUAGGCUCACAGUCUCCGUCCACAGUUGCGCACAACAAAACUUGUACUUCUAGUUUGCUCUCGAGACAGUGAGUUAUUCAGAUUUCUGGUAGCAACUUAUUUUUAGGUUUUUCGAGUUAUCUGGUUAGAUAUAUUGUUAGUUUUGUGUUACGAUUAUUAAUAUUUGAAAUCAAAAUGUCUUUUUUGGUUGGUUUUUCGAGUUAUCCGGUUAGAUAUAUUGCUAGUUUCGUGUUACGAUUAUUAAAAUCUGAAAUCCCAAUGUUUUUUGGUUCUUUUGGGGUUGGAUUUUGCUAAACAUAGAAGGGAAAAUAUCGAGAUUUUUGGUAGCAACUUAUUUGUUAGUUUUAAAGUUACCAAUCUAUUGUUAGUUUAGUGUUAGGACUAUUAAAAUAUGAAAUUAAAACGUGUUUGAAAGUUAUUUGCGGGGUCGGAUUUUGUUAAACAUAGAUGAUAAAUUAUGUAAUAAUCGCAGAAUUAAGAGCUUAAAGAAGUGGUUAGGGGAUGUUGGAGUGAUAAUUAUUAUGCUACUUUUUUGUGAUAUGAUUUCUCAUGUUAUAUAUUCCAUGGUGGUUACUUGGGCGCGGGGAUCUCUGGGGCAGUGGGACAGAAGCUGCAUAUCAAAAAUCAUCCAAGAGUAUAGAAAAAUGGAGAAUUAUUGGCGCAUUAGCAGAAGCUUUGAGUAUAAUAGAGGGAUUAGUGGGAGUUGAAUUGAUUUUUGAAUUCCUAAAAGGCGAAGACUAUGAAGAAUCCACUAUAUUAAACUAGUUUAAUCGAGUUGGAGAACAAGAGAAAAGAAAAUGCGAAAGAACGGAUGUUUCUAGUGAUUCUGUUUGAAAGUAAUCAUGAUCAUUUGUUGCAGAAAUUAAGCGCUGCAAUGAAGGUAGUAACGAAACAGGCGUUUUAAACCAUAGCUAGAUCGUUAUGAAGUGGACUUAUGCGGUUAUUAUAAUUCGACAGAGUGCAGUGGUGAACGAAGUAAAGAGAUACUGUUCAAUGUGAUUAGCGGAAGUGUAGUUCUGAAUCUUGAAAUUUAGGCAAGGAGCUAUCGGUAUAAAAUUGAUAUUCCAAUUAAAAUAUAAAUUAAGAAGACAACUUCAUCAUUAAUGAAGUCACUUAUAUGGUGUUGAUGUAUACAGAUUGUGUUUGAGUGUGUAUACGCUGCAAAUGACAAUUGCACACUGGAUCGACUGAAAGAGUUGAGCAACACACGCAGAGAAGUAGAGGAAUUUAUAAAUGACGGAAGCAUUAUUGCAAAGGCUAUUGCAAGGGAAAAGUUCGGAGGGUCGAGUUCACAUUUGGAACAGGUAUACUUGAAUUUAAGUUUUAGGCAUCUCAAUGUGAUAACAACAACUUGCAAAAUGUUCGAAAUUACUUUUAUUGCCUUUGGUUACGACAGACAAUUACCACAUGAUACAGACGAUGACCAAAAAGUUUUAUUAUCCGCAUGUUCUGGUGUCUUCCAACACUAGCUGACAACACGAAGUAGGUCAUACUAACGUGUUUCAAUUUUCUUUGAAUAUAUCAGGGAAUCCAGAAGUUAGAGAAGUACUUGCCUUUAUUGGAAAAUUUAAUUCAUCAUAGUGGAAAGGAGUGGCGGUAUCAGUGGGCAUCGAGGCUAAAGAUACAGUGGAGUAGUGCUCUUAGUGCUUCGUCUCUAUUCAGUUGUAAGGGUCACAAGUUUUUUCAAUCAAAUAGUUUGCUGUAUGAGCUCACUAUGAUGCGUUUCCUCUAUGGCGCUAUGCUACGUGAACAGGCGAGAGAAGUUCUGUCAAAAGGUAGGAAUAAGUAGUGUCAAUGUUUACAUGAAAACAUAUUUAUAAUAGUAAAUGUCUCUCACUUCUUCUUCACUAUUAUAGACCUAGUACAAUCUACCACACUAUUUAGAAAAGCUGCUGGAAUUUAUCAUUCGUUGGCCACUAAGGUUGUGUCCGAAUACGAAGCUACGUUGAUUACAGAAGAAAGACCUCCUGAAGCAACAUCAAAUGUGUGUUCUGUUUUGAGCCUUGUAUGUUUGGCUGAAGCACAGGUUAGAGGCCGUCUGUUUGUUUACUUCUGGAAGGCACAACAUAUUCUACUAGUAAAUCAUCCUAAUUCCAAGUUAAUUAUUGCUAAUCUUCUGCAGGCUGUAACUAUCAGAAAGGCUGAAGAAAAAGGAAAUACGGAAAGUCUUCUGGCGAAGCUGCAUUAUGGAAUUGUACAGAUGCUGGAUGAAGCCAUUAUUAUUUUACAUAGAGCAAACAAGGACAGGAAAGAUGUAUCAACUAGCUUUCUAGUAAGUGUGCAAUCUUGCAAAAUCAUUAACCGAAGCUCCAAUGUUAUAACCAUAACUCUCCAAUCUUGUGCAUUUCAGUUACUUUUUGUCUGAUAUAGUGGCAAUCUUUUAUGAUAUACAUCUGUCCAAAUUAGUCAACCGUUGCUGGUAGACCCACUGCAGGCGUCGCUAGCUCAAAAACUAAUUUAUUAUUUAUAUUAUCAGAAGUGAACCCAAUGUUAUAUGCUUCAGGUUUGAGAAAACCAGAACAUCCACCUUUUUUGGAAUUUCUCGCCUACUAUAUAUUGUCUAGACUCUUUGCGGAAAUUUCCCAAAGUUCUAUCGUUCAGUUUCUCAAAAAUCAUUAUAUCCUUUUGUGCAAUGUCUUUUAGUAAUUUUUACUAAUUUUACAGGAAUUUGUGUCAACUUGCAAAGCUUUCCAUGAGUUGAAAAGUUACAAGCACUUUGCAGACAGUCUAAAGACAGAUUCUGACAGUCAGAUUGGUAAUGCAAUUGGAGUUCUUCAACAUGCUCAAAAUACUAUACAGAAGAAUAAGCAAGGAGUCAUGGCGAUCAGUUAUUAAGCAUGAGCUUGAAACUGUAUCUGCACUGAUUCGUAAGUAUGAACAUGAAAACAACUUUAUCUGGAACAAAAAGAUCCCACUAUUCUUAUUAUAUAUACGUUGCAUUUUGUUUUUAAGGGUGGUGAUGAUUUGAAAAAGCAGAGUCGACCUUUUCUUACUCAGCUCUUCUCACCUAUCCUCUUAAAGGUACUAUUCUGUAAAAUAUAUCUCAUUGUAGUUACAUGCAAGUACUUGUUGUCUAAUAAGAUAUAUAUGCCAAUGGACAGGCAUUUUCUAUUACCUUUUUUGGUGAAUGGGGUGACAAGAGCCAGGUUUGUACUUGGAAUCUAAAUGCUUAAUGACAUUUUAAAUAUUUUGUAACCACUAAUUUAUCAGUUCUUUACGUAGUUGACAAUGUUAUGUCAUUUUUUGCAGCUAGCGACUAUCGGAUUGGCUGCAGAUGAAAAUCCAUUUGGCGUUGUACUCGGUGGAAUCUUGUAAAUUACAUCCUCUCUCUCUCUCUCUCCUCUUUUACUUUCCUAAAUUUUAUUCCUAUUAUAUGGCCCAUUUGGCAAGUUCCCGGUACAUAUUCUCCCUGAGAAAAGUCCAAUUCUAUUGCUAUGAACACUAUUUGUAUAAUAUACUCUCUCCGUCUCUAAAUACUUUUCCUGUUUGUACUUUUCACGUUUGCCAACACAUACUUUUAAUCGUUAAUAUCUUUCAUUUCGUAGUAGCAUUAAAUAUAAAAAAUUCACUGUAUUAAAAUACUCGUGAAUACGAAUCUAACAAGAUCACUCAUGACUAUAUUUAGUUUUAUAGAUUAGAUGUAAAUUAAUAAUUUGUCUCAUGUUAUUAACAUUACCGACAUCACAAACAGGAAAAGAAAAAAGAAACGGAGGGAGUAUCAGUAUAUCACAGACGUACUACCUUAGAGACACAAUCUAGAGAAUAGACAUAGUGUGUACCGGGACACUGAAACUAAUUCUGGGGUUCAUGAAUCUGAAAAUCGAGGGUAAGAUGGCUGACUGUUCAUUGAAUUUCUUAUUUGGCUAAACAGGUGAGAGAAAAUCUAUAUCUAUAACACCGUGAAGUAAAUAUUAUUUAAAGACCUCCUGAAAAUCUAUAUUAUUUAUCAUGAUAUAUUGGGUUUUACACACCUGCUCUAUAAAAGAUUGUGGUAUCUUGGAAAUGCUCAACCAUGUCAUUCCUAUUCCUCUGUUUUUCUUGUUUUUCGUUUAAGCAAUUAAAGGAGUAUUUAAGCAGUGUAGGUUAUCAGAUUUAUGUUCUGAAUCACUAAUUUUUAUCACAAAAACAGUGGUCUAGCUAUAACACAUGUUUUUAUGAUUGCACAAGCUCGAUCCCUAUAAUUCAUUAGGUAAUAAUGUAUUUAUUGUUGUUUCUUGCUUCAGAGGUCAUGCCUUGUGUACCACUGCUGCUGUCCUGGGAGGCAAAAGCUUGGCGAAACAAAUAUCUGAAAAACUAGUAAUUAACCGCACCUGUAUUUGUAUAUUUUGUUGUAUCAUCUUAUAUCGCUCUUUUCUUUCUUCUAAUCUAAUUAAAACAGGCACAAGUUUUGGUAACAAUACUAAGUUGUACACAUCUUCUGCAGAUUGCACUUUCUGGCGGGGUUCUCUUCAUUGUUUUCGGAAUCCAAUCCUUCUUGUCCACGGUGGAGUGAUGAGAUGUGAAAAUUUCAGCCCACCAUUGUAUUCAGAUUAGAUGUAUUCUACAAUUGUAGCAUGACAACAUAUGCUGAAUGUGGCUGCAAAGAGAAGGAGCCACAGUGCUCCCUUCUCUUAAAUUAUGCUCCAUGUGCUUGUAUUUAUAGACUUCAUCA
rnacentral:lncRNA from 1 species